GUUUCUGGACCCACGCAGCAGACGUGCCUGUCAUGAACCAGGUGUGUCGCGAGCAGUUUGUCCGCCUGCACAGUGAGCCCAUCCUGCAGCACCUGUCCAGGUUCCUGGUGAAGCGGUUCUGCGCUGACACCAGCUCCCAGCCCCGGAAGCUGUCGCAGCAAGUCCUGGCCAUCAAACUGCUGGAGACGCUGCUGUCCGUGCCUGAGAAAGGUAG